rnacentral:lncRNA from 1 species
GCCAUUUCUUGGGCCACUCCCAUGGCAUAUGGAGGUUCUCAGGCUAGGGGUCUAAUCGGAGCUGUAGCUGCCGGCCACAGCCACAGCAACGUGGGAUCCGAGCCACAUCUGCAACCUACACCACAGCUCAAGGCAACGCCGGAUCGUUAACCCACUGAGCAAGGGCAGGGAUCAAACUCGCAACCUCAUGGUUCCUAGUUGGAUUCGUUAACCACUGCGCCACAACGAGAACUCCGUCUUAAAAAAUUUUAAAGAUUUGCCUUUCACAUUGUCCUUAAUCCAUCUGGAAUUAAUUUAAAUGUGUGGUUCUUGCCAGGGAUCUGAUUUCAUGUUUCCCAUUUAGAGACCAAAUUGUCCCAGCACCAUUUGUCACCUAUUUCUUUUUUUUCCUCUCAGUGGUUUGUCUGUCACUUUGAUGUGUUUCAACUUCCAUAUAGGUGUGGCCUGUUCCUAUGCUCUCUGUUCCAGUGCCUUUAUCUGUCUAUUGGUUUAUACUGAAAGUGCCAAUGCUACACUAAGUUAUUAUUGUGUGAAUGAGUCUAUUGCUAUUCCUCACUGUCCCUUCCUCUUGCAGAGAAAGAUUGUGCUUCCCUGCCACAUUCAUGGUGGGCUUGGACUUGAUUCCACCAAGUAAAUGUUAAUAGAAGUAACAUGUAGCAUGUCUGAACAGAAUCUAUAAAAAUCCAGGUGUGAUUCAAGCAGACCUGACAGCCUGGCAGCUGUGAUGUGCUGCUCCCUCUUGAGAACCUGAGAUGGAGAUGUAUGUGUGGGACAGUGAGAUAUAUGAGUGGGAAAUAAAGUUUGUGCUUUUCAGGUGAUUUUUCAGCUGGGUUUUAUUACAGAAGAUAACCCAGUAGAAUCUGAUAUACACAAGGUUCAAUUACUUAACCUAACAUACACAGAAUGCUAUAGCAAGGCUUGAUAGGUCUGAGUAAAUCACCCACUAAUUUUUCUUAGAGAAAUUGUUGGCCAUUUGCUCAUUCAUGCAAAUUUUAGAAUCAACUCCUAAGUCUCCAUUCCACCAAAACCCUCUUAAUAUUUGUUUAUGAUACCAUCAUAUAUACAGAUAUAUUUUGAGGGAUUUGAAUCAGCAAUCAGACUUCUUAUCAGGGAAUGUCUUCAUUUAUUUGGGUCUUUUUCAAUGCCAUUCAUUUAUAUUUCCCUGUGAAGAUCCCUAUGAAGAUUUCUCUUCUCUUAAUACCUUAUAUUUCUGCUGCUAGUCUAAAUGACAUUUUCAAAUAGAGUUUUUAAACAGUUUAUUGGUAUUGUGAAGAAGUGUAUUUACUGGCUGAUAUAUUCACUCAACUUGCUAAGCGCUCUUAUUUUCAAAAAUUAACUGUAAAAUCUGUUGGGUUAGUAUAAAAAUUCAGAAAACAAAAACACAUUGUGCUGACUACUUCUCCAAUGAGCAGAGCUACAAUAGAGGCAUUCUUGAUUUCAAAAAGAAUGCUUCCAACACAUCACCAUUAAGAAUUAUAUUUAUUAUAAACCAAUGGGAUCUAAUCAAGCUGACAAGCUUUUGCACAGCAAAGGAAACCAAAAAGAAAACAAAAAGACAACUUACAGAAUGGGAGAAAAUAGUUUCAAGUGAUGCAACCAACAAGGGCUCAAUCUCUAAAAUAUACAACAGCUUAUACAACUCAACAGCAAAAAAGCCAACAACCCAAUAGAAAAAUGGGCAAUAGACCUGAAUAGACUUGUCUCCAAAGAAGAUAUACAGAUGGCCAACAAGCACAUGAAAAAAUGCUCAACAUCCCUGAUUAUUAGAGAAAUGCAAAUCAAAACUACCACGAGCUACCACCUCACACCAGUCAGAAUGGCCAUCAUUAAUAAGUCCACAAAUAACAAAUGCUGGAGCGGGUGUGGAGAAAAGGAAACCCUCCUGCACUGUUGGUGGGAAUGUAAGCUGGUACAACCACUAUGGAGAACAGUAUGGAGGUACCUCAGAAAACCAGACAUAGAACUACCGUUUGACACAGCAAUCCCACUCUUGGGCAUAUAUCCAGACAAAACUUUCCUUGAAAAAGACACAUGCACCCGCAUGUUCAUUGCAGCACUAGUCACAAUAGCCAAUACAUGGAAACAUCCCAAAUGUCCAUCAACAGAUGAUUGGAUUAGGAAGAUGUGGUAUAUAUAUACAAUAGAAUACUACUCAGCCAUAAAAAGAACAAAAUAAUGCCAUUUGCAGCAACAUGGAUGGAACUAGAGACUCUCAUCCUGAGUGAAGUAAGUCAGAAAGAGAAAGACAAAUACUAUAUGAUAUCACAUAUCUGGAAUCUAAUAUGCGGCACAAAUGAACCUUUCCACAGAAAAAAUCAUGGGCUUAGAGAAUAGACUUGUGGUUGCCAAGGGGGAAGGGGUGGGAAUGGGAUGGAUUGGAAGCUUGAGGAUAAUGGAUGCAAACUAUUGCUUUUGGAAUGGAUUAGCAAUGAGAUCCUGCUGUGUAGCACUGGGAACUAUGUCUAGUCACUUAUGAUGGAGCAUGAGAAUGUGAGAAAAAAGAAUCUAUACAUAUAUGUGAAACUGGGUCACCAUGCUGUACAGUAGAAAACUGACAGAACACUGUAAACCAAGUAUAACGGAAAAAAUAAAAAUCAUUAUACAUAUUAAAAAAAGAAUGAUAUUUAUUGGUCAUUGGGCACCUGCUGUAUAACACAGGCAACUCUACCCAAUAUUCUGUAAUAACCUAUAAAGGAAAAGAAUCUGGGGAAAAAAAGGGUAUGUGUAUAUGUAUUAACUGAUUCAUUUUGUUGUUCAGGAGGGAACCCACAUCACAGUAGCGACCCAAACCACUGCAGUGACAACACUGGAUCCUUAACUCACUGUGCCACAAGAGAACUCCAUGAAUGAGUGUGGAAUUUUAUCUAAAUUUUUUCUGUAUAAUUUUUGAGAAAUAUAUAUUUAUCUCCAACUGAAUUAAUACAGCUGAAAUAAUAUUAACAAAUAUUAAUAUUUGUAAAUAGGCCCAAAUUGGCCAUGAUAAUUUUUUAAAGUAUUGCUGGAUUAAGUUUAGUAUUAGUUUAGAUUUUUUUGGCCUAUGAUCAAUUUCCUAUUUUUGUGCUGUUCUUAUCUGGAUUUGAUAUUAGGUAAGACCAGCUUCAUAAAAUGCACAAGGGAGUAUUACAUUGUCUUUGGAAAGACUUUGAACAUGAUCACACUAAUCUGCUUCUUGAACAUUUGGUAUAUCUCCUAUACUUGGUGUUUUCUUUGUAUGAAGUCUUUAAAUUACUGGAUACAAUAUAUUUAAUAUUUACUUAAUGCUAUGGACUGAAUUGUGCCCCUCCUUCCAAAUUAAUAUAAUCCUAAUGUGACUGCAUUUGGAUGUUGGGCCUUUACAGAGGUGAUUAGGUUAAAUGAGGUCAUAAGGAUUGGACCCUAAUCCUAUAGAUCUGGUGUCCUCAUAAGAAAAGUCACCAUGGCUAUCUUCCCACACAGUCACAAUGAAUGCCCAGUAGAGGACACAGAGGGAAGGGAGCCAUAUGCAAUCCAGGAAGAAGCCUCAAUAGAAACCAACCCUGCUGACACCUCAAUGUUGGUCAUUGUUUCUUGAAAUCUUCUCCUUUCAUCUGGGUUCAGCUUCCCUCCUUCUGAAACACAUUCUUUAGUAGUUCUUUCACCAAGGUUGUGAAGGUUUCAACUUAGGCUUUGUACCUCUGAAAAUAUCUGUUUUGUGCUCACUCUUGCAUAAUAGUUCAGUUAAAUACAAAAUUCUAAGUAGACAGAUUAUUAUCGAGGCCCUAGAAGUUCUAUAAUUUCACUAUGUGAACAGCACAUUAGGGAUUUGAUUUCUCACAUUCAUAUUCAUUAAUGGGCUCUCCUCAUAGAAGAAAAGUUUGCUUUGGGGACCAUUAUCCAGAGCUUUAAUGUCUAUUCUGAAUCUCAUCUUUUGCACCUCAGACUCAUCAUAAUUUUGUUCCUUUACAAUCUUAUCUGUGUGAAGAUGCUCCCUAACCUUGAGGAAAAGCACAGAGCUUUAUCACCUUGUAUCCCCACACUCUCUCCCCUCAAGGGCAUCCAGAACAUUUACUGAGUUAAGGAAGAAAGGAAGGAACAGGGACUCAGUUCCUCUAGGAGUCUCUCUUCCCCUCUCUAAUCUGCUAAACUGAAUGGGAGCCAUUCUCCUGGCUGCCACUGCAAUAACUCCUGAGACUCCACGUCCAUCUCCCCUCAUCCUCCUUACAGGGGAAAGUCCUACGUGGGCCAAGCCCUGGCCUGAAUGUAGCCACUCAGAAGGCAUUCCCUCCCGUCGCCACCCUUCAGGCCCUGGCCUGUCCCAGCCUCCAUGGGCAGGUAAAUUCCCUGACACCUUCGCAUUCUGUGAAGUCACAGAACUCACCAUUACUUGGCACAAUGCUGCCAUUUCAGAACUUAGGAGGGCCAGGAAAGGCAAAGAGGCCGAGGCUCUGCUCCAGCGAAGUCUGGGAGACUCUCAGGGCGCCACAAAGAUGGAGCUCCCGCGGCGCUCAGCCUGGACGGGGAGGAAAGUCCUGGGAGCUGGGCAACGCACGGAGGAUCCGCAGCUGCAAGGCACGGACCAUCUGAGGAAUCUGGCUGUCGCCCGGGUCCCACUGACCCAAAAAGGAAGAAGUCGCGGCGCAGGGGGCGAGUGAACAGCGGCAAGUGCAGCCUCCGCUGUGGCCCAGACGCCACCUCCAAAGGCAGCGGCGGCUGAGCGCACUGUGGAGCGGCCCGAGUCAGGGCACCCUCCUCGGUCCCUCAGCUGGGAGGCGCCGAGCGAGGCCGGAGCCAGUGGGACGCAGGGCCUGGGUCUUCCGAGCUGAGUUCGUGGGAGGGCCAGGCUCCGCCGAGAGGUCGCGAAACCGGCGCUCGCCCUCGCGUUCGGGGCCUCUGGCCGGCGUUGUCCAGGAAGCGC